GCUCGUGUCCCCCAUUCCACUGGACUGAAAUGGACCUAAAAGCAGAUACAAAACUGGAUUCCAGCUGCUCAGGGUCCUGGUUCAGAACACGCGUCUUGGUGGGGAGGCUGUCGCGCGUUGAUGGCGUCACUGUUUUCUAAAAACUUUAUUGGCAACAAAGUAGUAUUACACUACAAAUAGAACGGGGGUGCCGAGGAAAAUAAAACGAACACAUCACAAAGAACAAGCAAACAUAAAAAGAUACGGAAGUUAAGAGAAGAAAGUGGAUGCGACCUAAAACAACAUCGAAGAAGUAACACUGCAAACCAACUGAACUCAUCUGGAAAUGUUUCUGAACAGAGAGAAAAAAAAGGAUUUAGACCUCCAGGAUAAGUUAUUGAGCCUGGCUCAACCAAUCCAAAACAACAGAGUUCAGGCUUAAUUGGUUGCACAAACGCCAGGCCGGGAUAAGUAGACACGGAUUCAUCAAGCCAGGUGAAACCAAUCCUGGAUAAGUUGCAGCACACAGCUCCUCAAAUAGGGCCCGCAAUCAGUCACAGAUUCACUGAUUCACCGUGGCAGCUCGUGCAGCAAACUUCCCCCCGUUGGAGCAGGAGAUAAUUAUGGAGGCAUAUGAAGAGGUGAAAGACCAAAUAAAAAAAAAGGAAACACCCUCACUGCCAUAAAACGAGAGAAAGCGUGGCUAAUCAUUGCAGAUCGCCUGAAUGUAUUAAACAUGACAGGGCCCAAACGAACUUGGCAGCAACUCAAGAUGAAGUACAAGAACAUCCUGCAGAACGAUGGUCUGCAGUGCUGACUGCUGGGGGGCAGAGGGUUUGCCUGUGAGCCUUUUUGCCUCACACCUUGCGCAGACCCUCAGGGAGCACAGCAGGCAUAUAACAAUGCCCGUGCCAGGACGAGGGCUCGGAUCCAGAUGACCUUUGGCCUCCUGAAGGCACGCUUCCAAUGUCUGCACCAUCUGAGGGUCGGUCCAGACAGAGCGUGCGAUAUUACUGUGGCUUGUGCUGUCCUCCAUAAUGUGGCCUGUCUGAGGAAGGAGAGGGCCCCCAGAGUGCCCUCAGAUGACGACAGUGGUCGGCUGAUCAGAGACCAAUAUGUUUUAAA